rnacentral:misc_RNA from 1 species
AAGUCGUAACAAGGUUUCCGUAGGUGAACCUGCGGAAGGAUCAUUAUCACGUAUCCACGUAUAAACCAUUGUGAACCGUACCACCCUUUGGGAGAGAUGAGUUAGUGUUCAAUCAUACUACAUGAACUCUUUAUUGUGAUUUAUAGUUCAUUUGAUUGAGCCUCGGGGUUCCUUCGGAGCUUCCGUACUUUCUUUCCUAGAGGUGUAUUUCUAUAAAUCGCUUGAUUAACAAUUUGAACAAACCUUUAAAACUUUGAACUGACUUGUUUCUUACUCCUCUAACCGGGAGAAGAAAUUCAUUACGAAACAAAGAA